rnacentral:rRNA from 1 species
UGACGGUAUCAUAUGAAUAAGCACCGGCUAACUCCGUGCCAGCAGCCGCGGUAAUACGGGGGGUGCAAGCGUUACUCGGAAUCACUGGGCGUAAAGAGCAUGUAGGCGGGUGAAUAAGUUGGAAGUGAAAUCCUAUAGCUUAACUAUAGAACUGCUUCCAAAACUGUUCACCUAGAGUAUGGGAGAGGUAGAUGGAAUUUCUGGUGUAGGGGGUAAGAUCCGUAGAGAUCAGAAGGAAUACCGAUUGCGAAGGCGAUCUACUGGAACAUUACUGACGCUCAGAUGCGAAAGCGUGGGGAGCAAACAGGAUUAGAUACCCUGGUAGUCCACGCCCUAAACGAUGUACACUAGUUGUUGCUAUACUAGAUAUGGCAGUAAUGCAGUUAACACUUUAAGUGUACCGCCUGGGGGAGUACGGUCGCAAGAUUAAAACUCAAAGGAAUAGACGGGGACCCGCACAAGCGGUGGAACCAUGUGGUUUAAUUCGACGAUACGCGAAAAACCUUACCUGGCCUUGACAUAGUAGGAAUCUUUAACAGAUUAGAAAAUGCUAGCUUGCUAGAACCUACUUACAGGUGCUGCACGGCUGUCGUCA